UACCAAAAAUGAAUUAAGUUCAAUUUUAACUUGCUAAAAAACAACAAAAUCAAAAAGUAAGUUUAAAUUAUAGCCAAAAGAGGGACAGCUCUUCUGGAACGGAAAAAACCUUUAAUAGUGAAUAAUUAACAAAACAACUUUUAACCAUUGUAGGCCUAAAAGCAGCCACCAAUAAAGAAAGCGUUCAAGCUCAACAUAAAAUUUCAAUUAAUUCCAUAAUUUACACCAACUUCCUAAACUUAAAAUUGGGUUAAUCUAUAACUUUAUAGAUGCAACACUGUUAGUAUGAGUAACAAGAAUUCCAAUUCUCCAGGCAUACGCGUAUAACAACUCGGAUAACCAUUGUUAGUUAAUCAGACUAUAGGCAAUAAUCACACUAUAAAUAAUCCACCUAUAACUUCUCUGUUAACCCAACACCGGAAUGCCUAAAGGAAAGAUCCAAAAAGAUAAAAGGAACUCGGCAAACAAGAACCCCGCCUGUUUACCAAAAACAUCACCUCUAGCAUUACAAGUAUUAGAGGCACUGCCUGCCCAGUGACUAAAGUUUAACGGCCGCGGUAUCCUGACCGUGCAAAGGUAGCAUAAUCACUUGUUCCUUAAUUAGGGACUAGCAUGAACGGCUAAACGAGGGUCCAACUGUCUCUUAUCUUUAAUCAGUGAAAUUGACCUUUCAGUGAAGAGGCUGAAAUAUAAUAAUAAGACGAGAAGACCCUAUGGAGCUUAAAUUAUAUAACUUAUCUAUUUAAUUUAUUAAACCUAAUGGCCCAAAAACUAUAGUAUAAGUUUGAAAUUUCGGUUGGGGUGACCUCGGAGAAUAAAAAAUCCUCCGAAUGAUUAUAACCUAGACUUACAAGUCAAAGUAAAAUCAACAUAUCUUAUUGACCCAAAUAUAUUUUGAUCAACGGACCAAGUUACCCUAGGGAUAACAGCGCAAUCCUAUUUAAGAGUUCAUAUCGACAAUUAGGGUUUACGACCUCGAUGUUGGAUCAGGACAUCCCAAUGGUGUAGAAGCUAUUAAUGGUUCGUUUGUUCACGAUAAGUCCUACGUGAUCUGAGUCAGACGGAGUAU
rnacentral:rRNA from 1 species